CACAUGCAAGUCGAGGGGUAACGGGGAGCUUGCUCCGCCGACGACCGGCGCACGGGUGCGCACCGCGUAUGGAACCUACCUUGUACAGGGGAAUAGCCUUUGGAAACGAAGAUUAAUGCCCCGUGGUACCACGCCCCGGCAUCGGGAUGUGGUUAAAGCCUUCGGGCGGUACAAGAUGGCCAUGCGUCCCAUUAGCUUGUUGGUAAGGUAACGGCUUACCAAGGCUACGAUGGGUAGGGGCCCUGAGAGGGGGAUCCCCCACACUGGUACUGAGACACGGACCAGACUCCUACGGGAGGCAGCAGUGAGGAAUAUUGGACAAUGGAGGAGACUCUGAUCCAGCCAUGCCGCGUGCAGGAAGAAUGCCCUAUGGGUAGUAAACUGCUUUUAUACAGGAAGAAAAAGAGCUACGUGUAGCUUACUGACGGUACUGUAAGAAUAAGGACCGGCUAACUCCGUGCCAGCAGCCGCGGUAAUACGGAGGGUCCGAGCGUUAUCCGGAAUUAUUGGGUUUAAAGGGUCCGUAGGCGGGCCGAUAAGUCAGGGGUGAAAGUUUGCAGCUCAACUGUAAAAUUGCCUUUGAUACUGUUGGUCUUGAGUUAUAGUGAAGUUGCCGGAAUAUGUAGUGUAGCGGUGAAAUGCAUAGAUAUUACAUAGAACACCGAUUGCGAAGGCAGGUGACUAACUAUAUACUGACGCUGAUGGACGAAAGCGUGGGGAGCGAACAGGAUUAGAUACCCUGGUAGUCCACGCCGUAAACGAUGGAUACUAGCUGUCCGGAACCUUGAGUUCUGGGCGGCCAAGCGAAAGUGAUAAGUAUCCCACCUGGGGAGUACGUUCGCAAGAAUGAAACUCAAAGGAAUUGACGGGGGCCCGCACAAGCGGUGGAGCAUGUGG
rnacentral:rRNA from 1 species